rnacentral:rRNA from 1 species
UACGAAGGGGCUAGCGUUGCUCGGAAUCACUGGGCGUAAAGGGUGCGUAGGCGGGUCUUAAGUCAGGGGUGAAAUCCUGGAGCUCAACUCCAGAACUGCCUUUGAUACUGGGGAUCUCGAGUCCGGAAGAGGUAAGUGGAACUCCGAGUGUAGAGGUGAAAUCGUAGAUAUUCGGAAGAACACCAGUAGCGAAGGCGGCACUCUGGGCCGGUACUGACGCUGAGGAGCGAAAGCGUGGGGAGCAACAGG